AUGCACCUCCCCCCACCGCUUCCUACCCCGCCAUCCCACACUUGACUGUUACCAGCUCCCGGUCCCCCUGAACCCUCCUCUACCUCUUGCCUGCUACCCCGUCGUCGUCAUCGGAAAAAUGUAAUAUCGAUUACCUCCACAACCUCGGGGUGGUGGUGGUGGUACUUUGUAUCCGGCCACGGCCCCCCUCAUUACAGUACCGAUGAUACCGAUGAUACCGAUGAUACCGAUGAUACCGAUGAUACCGAUGAUACCGAUGAUACCGAUAAUACCGAUAAUACCGAUGAUACCGAUAAUACCGAUGAUACCGAUAAUACCGAUGAUACCGAUAAUACCGAUGAUACCGAUAAUACCGAUGAUACCGAUAAUACCGAUAAUACCGAUAAUACCGAUGAUACCGAUGAUACCGAUGAUACCGAUAAUACCGAUGAUACCGAUAAUACCGAUGAUACCGAUGAUACCGAUGAUACCGAUGAUACCGAUGAUACCGAUGAUACCGAUAAUACCGAUGAUACCGAUAAUACCGAUAAUACCGAUAAUACCGAUAAUACCGAUGAUACCGAUGAUACCGAUGAUACCGAUGAUACCGAUAAUACCGAUGAUACCGAUAAUACCGAUAAUACCGAUGAUACCGAUAAUACCGAUGAUACCGAUAAUACCGAUGAUACCGAUAAUACCGAUGAUACCGAUGAUACCGAUGAUACCGAUAAUACCGAUGAUACCGAUGAUA
rnacentral:lncRNA from 1 species